GUGAGGAAUAUUCCGCAAUGGGGGAAACCCUGACGGAGCAAUGCCGCGUGCAGGAUGAAGGCCCUCGGGUCGUAAACUGCUUUUAUAUGAGAAGAAUAUGACGGUAACAUAUGAAUAAGGGACGGCUAACUACGUGCCAGCAGCCGCGGUCAUACGUAGGUCCCAAGCGUUAUCCGGAGUGACUGGGCGUAAAGAGUUGCGUAGGCGGCUCGUUAAGCGUGAAAUGAAAUUUAUCGGCUCAACCGGUAAACUAUUUCGCGAACUGACGGGCUCGAGAGUAUGAGAGGUUACUGGAAUUUCUAGUGUAGCAGUGAAAUGCGUAGAUAUUAGAAAGAACACCAACGGCGUAGGCAGGUAACUGGCAUACAUCUGACGCUGAGGCACGAAAGCGUGGGGAGCGAACCGGAUUAGAUACCCGUGUAGUCC
rnacentral:rRNA from 1 species